GCCUCAGGGCCAGUAUUAAGGCCUUUUAACCAAAUUUCUCUCCCAAGCCACCAGUGCAAUGAAGGAAAAUAGGGUUGUCCACAGUGAAAUCCAUUGCUCUCUUCAGAAUACAAAGGAGGGGUCAUUUGUGGAGAAAUACAAAACCAAGGAGAGGGGAUUCCUUAUAGAAGGAUGAGUUCAGCCUCCUCCCACCUCUCUUGAGCCCAUGUGAUGCCUUCUGCUAGGUUAUGACAAAACAAGAAGGCCCUUACAAGAUACUAGCACCUUGAUCUUGAACUUCCCAGCCUCCAGAACCGAGAAGACAUGCUAUAAAAAAUAAGGCAAGGCUAUGUCUGAUGGAUUUCUAGACUGCACAGUCCAGUAGGUUACAUGAGAGGAUCAAUAAUGAAGACCAGUUGUGAUGGCUCAUUCCUGUAAUACCAGCACUUCGGUUGGUCAAGGCUGGAGGAUCACUUGCACCCAGCAGCUCAAGACAAGCCUGUGCAGCAUAGGGUGAACCCGAUCUCUAUGAAAAAUAAAAAUUAGCUAGCCAUGGUUGUGUACCGGUGAUCCCAGCUACUCAGGAGGCUUAGGUGGAAGGAUCACUUGAGGGAGGUCAAGGCUGCAGUGAGCUAUGAUAGAAAGCACCACUGCACUCCAAUUUUGGCAACACAGUGAGCAAGACCCUGUCUCAAAAAAGCAAAAAAAUGAAAAAUU